CAGGAACAAGCCCUAGCUUGUAU
rnacentral:snRNA from 1 species